rnacentral:rRNA from 1 species
AGAGUUUGAUUAUGGCUCAGGACGAACGCUGGCGGCGUGCCUAAUACAUGCAAGUCGAACGCUUUUUCUUUCACCGGAGCUUGCUCCACCGAAAGAAAAGGAGUGGCGAACGGGUGAGUAACACGUGGGUAACCUGCCCAUCAGAAGGGGAUAACACUUGGAAACAGGUGCUAAUACCGUAUAACAAUCGAAACCGCAUGGUUUCGGUUUGAAAGGCGCUUUUGCGUCACUGAUGGAUGGACCCGCGGUGCAUUAGCUAGUUGGUGAGGUAACGGCUCACCAAGGCAACGAUGCAUAGCCGACCUGAGAGGGUGAUCGGCCACAUUGGGACUGAGACACGGCCCAA